rnacentral:rRNA from 1 species
CCGUCGGAACACAUUGUCAAACCAUGCAAGUUCGAGCGGGGGAAGGUAGCUUGCUACUGGACCUAGCGGCGGACGGGUGAGUAAUGCUUAGGAAUCUGCCUAUUAGUGGGGGACAACAUCUCGAAAGGGAUGCUAAUACCGCAUACGUCCUACGGGAGAAAGCAGGGGAUCUUCGGACCUUGCGCUAAUAGAUGAGCCUAAGUCGGAUUAGCUAGUUGGUGGGGUAAAGGCCUACCAAGGCGACGAUCUGUAGCGGGUCUGAGAGGAUGAUCCGCCACACUGGGACUGAGACACGGCCCAGACUCCUACGGGAGGCAGCAGUGGGGAAUAUUGGACAAUGGGGGGAACCCUGAUCCAGCCAUGCCGCGUGUGUGAAGAAGGCCUUAUGGUUGUAAAGCACUUUAAGCGAGGAGGAGGCUACUCUAGUUAAUACCUAGGGAUAGUGGACGUUACUCGCAGAAUAAGCACCGGCUAACUCUGUGCCAGCAGCCGCGGUAAUACAGAGGGUGCGAGCGUUAAUCGGAUUUACUGGGCGUAAAGCGUGCGUAGGCGGCUUAUUAAGUCGGAUGUGAAAUCCCCGAGCUUAACUUGGGAAUUGCAUUCGAUACUGGUGAGCUAGAGUAUGGGAGAGGAUGGUAGAAUUCCACGUGUAGCGGUGAAAUGCGUAGAGAUCUGGAGGAAUACCGAUGGCGAAUGCAGCCAUCUGGCCUAAUACUGACGCUGAGGUACGAAAGCAUGGGGAGCAAACAGGAUUGAGAUACCCUGGUAGUCCAUGCCGUAAACGAUGUCUACUAGCCGUUGGGGCGUGUGGAGGCUUUAGUGCGCAGCUACGCGAUAGGUAGACCGCCUGGGGAGUACGGUCGCAGACUAAAACUCAAAUGAAUUGACGGGGCCGGCACAGCGUUGGAGCAUGUGCUUGAGUUCUAUGCACAUCGAGAGCGUAACUGUCAUGACUACUGAGAACUAUCAUAGAUGGAUGUGCUUGCUGCAUCUGAGAAUACAGUACUGCAUGCUGUCAGCAGUCAGUCGUGCAUGCAGAUAAGGUUCGACACGACGGCAACCCUUUUCCUUAGCAGCCAGCAUUUAGGAUCCAACCUUAAGGCUAUUUCCCCCGACAAACCGUACGAUGGGGGUGAGGACGUCAUGUCAUCAUCGCCCUUACGGCCAAUCCUACACGACCCGUACAAUGGUCGGUCCAAAGGGUUGCUACACAGCGAUGUGAUGCUAAUCUCAAAAAGCCUAUCGUAGUCCGGAUUGGAGUGUGCAACUCGACUCCAUGACGUUGGAAUCGCUAGUAAUCGCGCAUCAGAAUGCCGCGGUGAAUACCUCCCGGGCCAGAACACACCGCCCGUCACACCAUGGGAGUUUGGGCACCAGAAGUAGCUACCUUAACUGCAAAGAGGGCCAUAGUCAUCGUUACCAUCCAG